GAUGAAGAACGCAGCGAAAUGCGAUAAGUAAUGUGAAUUGCAGAAUUCAGUGAAUCAUCGAAUCUUUGAACGCACAUUGCGCCCGCCAGUAUUCUGGCUGGCAUGCCUGUUCGAGCGUCAUUACAACCCUCAGGCCCCCGGGCCUGGCGUUGGGGAUCGGCGGAGCCCCCCGUGGGCACACGCCGUCCCCCAAAUGCAGUGGCGGUCCCGCCGCAGCUUCCAUCGCGUAGUAGCUAACACCUCGCGACUGGAGAGCGGCGCGGCCACGCCGUAAAACACCCAACUCUUCUGAAGUUGACCUCGAAUCAGGUAGGAAUACCCGCUGAACUUAAGCAUAUCAAUAAGCGGAGGA
rnacentral:misc_RNA from 1 species